AGUCAUCCAGUUUGCACACACGGCCAUGAGGUAUGAGUUUGGUAAGAUUACCCUUCAUAAGACUUCACAAACAACCAUAUAUUUUUCCCAAAAGUUUUGUACUUCUCAACCUGUUGAAUUUGAAUCAAGAGAUGUUGCACAUUUUUGAACCUGCUGAAUAAAUCAAAAGAUGUUACUCCUCUACCUGCUGAAUCUAAAUCGAAAGAUCUCAAGAGAAUUAUGGUGCUACUUUUGGCAACGUGCCGCCAUGCUCAACCUCGCCCGGCCAUCGUAUGGCCUCUUGUGUUGUCUUCAAUCUUCAUUGGUACUGUAGACACAUAGAGACAAUGCUAGCUUUAGAGUUUCAGAGAAAAACAGACUAAGUGGAAGCACAGAGAAGAGGUAGCGGUAUGUGUCUAGAUUAAUCAUCAUGGUAUUCAGAGUAACUGCUAGCUUUAGAAUUCAGUUUUUGUCUAGCUGAAAAUUCACAUAUUCCAUUAAGACAUAAUCAUCAUGGAAUUGGUACAUUCCUUUUUUACAUUUUGAGAAAAGUGCCUAGAAAUUCUCAUCAAUGCGCAAUAUUCAGCUGGGCUGCAUUUCUUAUCGAUUUUACUGUAGUGAAAGUGUAAUAUAAGCGCAACGGAGUUUACUACCAAAUCUAUUGAUCUAUGCAUGCUCAUCAUUCCUUUUUUUGUGAGCUGUUGUUUCUUUUCACACUUUUGUUAAUUUGUGGCAUUACUUUGCAUCCUGGGAGUGAAAAAAAUGCAGAACUUGAUAAUGUGAAGUAAGCUUAACCUACUGGCUGUAAUAUUUUAUAACACGGCAUACUUUUCAUCAUGUGGCAGAUAUUGGUUAUGGGAGCAUUUUCAACAAUAAAGACAUGCGUUUUGACAACAUUUGCGUGGAUGGGUUGAUUUGCUGCUAUAAAUGUUGGAUGACCCCUGAUUGGUGUGUGG
rnacentral:lncRNA from 1 species